rnacentral:lncRNA from 1 species
GAGAGCAAAACAAAACAGAGAAGGGAGAAAUAAAGAAACAGAGAGCAAAACGAAACAGAGAAGGAAGGAAGGAAAGAAAGAAAGAAAAGAAAAGAAAAAGGGAAAUUUGGGGUUUUAAGGUUCAAAGUAAUUUCGUAAGUCAAUUUAAUCCCCUUUUCUCUUAAUUUUGAUAUUUUUUUUGAAAUCCUAGAACAAAAUACUACUUGAUUUAAGUUGAAAUUUUGGAAGUUAGUAGAUUAUUAAGCAUGGUUCAUGUUGAAUAAAUUGUUAAAUUAGGGAUGUAUUUGAUAGAAAUUUUGAUUGGAAUUAAAUAAAGGAUUGAAUUGUAAACUAAACUAUAAGUUUUGAAUUUUAGGGAUUAAUUUGAAAUAAAUUCGGAAUUAUGAAAACAUGAUAAAAAUUAAAUAGUUAAAUAUGAGUUUAGCAAGAAAUUGGGUAGAAUAAGGGUAUGAAUUGAGAAAGAAAAAUAUAUAGGUUUAGUUAGGGGUUAAAUUGAUUUAAUUUCAAGUUAGAAGUUAGUAAAGAAUGUAAUUGUAAAAUAAAAUAUAAGUUUUGAAUCGAUAGGGAUUAAAUUGAAAGAAUCCCGAAAUUAGGGAUUUAUGGUGAAAUUGAGGAAUUAAAUUGACUUUAUAGUAAGAAUUAAGAGAGAAUAUAGAGUUAGAUUGGGAAAAAUAAAAUUAGUAUUGGUAAGGGAUCAAAUUAGAAUUUGGGUAAAGUUUAGGUAUAAAAGGAAAUAUUUUAAUGAAAUUGUGUAUUAAUGAUUUUUAAUUGUUUAAUUACGUAGCUAAUGUCGUGUACGAGUCAUUGUCCGAGAAAGGAAAGGAGAAAGUGGACAAGGAGUGACUCGAGAGAAAUUACGGUUAGUAUUACUAUAAUUCGAAUUUAAUUAUUAAUCGUUGAAAUUUAAAUUAAUAUGCAUGAUAAGCAAAUUAAGGUGAGUAUCAUGAAAGAAUUGAAUGAAUAUAUAUAUACGUAUUGGUAUUGAAUUUAUUAAUAAUAAUUGUUGAAUUUUGAAUAAUAUGUUUAGUAAAAAAAAUAAUAAUAAGAUGAAUAUUGAUAUUGAAUUGUACAUGAAUUCGAGUGGAAAAUGAAUUAAAAAUAUAUAUAUAUGAAUGGAAUAAAAGUGAAUUAAAUUGUGAAUAAGUGUGAUAUAUGUGAAUUGCGGAAUAAGUAGUAAAUUGUAAUGACGAAGAAAUGAUAAAUCCUUUUUGAAAUAAUUCUAUAAAGUAUUUAAAUAAAUGAGAUUCAUAUUUAAUGCCCAAGUAGAUGGAAUUUAGAACUACCAGGAUAUUAGUGGCAUGCCAUUAAGGAACUUAUUAAGGAACUUUAGCGCGCUCUCUGAUUAUUAGCACGUUGGUGCUCUUUGAUAUUAGCACGUUGGUGCUCUUUGAUAUUAGCACGUUGGUGCUCUCUGAUAUUUAGCACGUCAGUGCUCUCUGUUUAGCACAUUUGUGCUCUCUGUAUUUGUUCCGUAUAUCCGGGGUGUUCUGUAAAAUCUACUUUGGGCUAAGAGUAUAAGCUGUGGACAAAAGUGAAAUUGUGAAUUGAUGUGAGAAUUUGAAAAUCGAGAUAAGAGAUUUAAAGAUAUGAACCCAAAGUUCAUGAUAUGAUAAAGAGUAAAUUUUGUUAUAUGAUAUUAGUGAGUACAAAUUGCAAUAAAAUUUAUAUUGAAUAUAAAUUAAAUGAAAUGAAUUGUAUAUGAAUUGAAAUGAACUAUUGGAAUGAGAUGUAAAGAAAAAUCCCAUGGAAUUGAGAUAGUGAAAUAAGGUAUGAAUACAAUUAAAUACAAGAUUUGAAUUAUAGCUUAUUGUUAUUAAUUAUCAAGUUGAUUUAAUGCAUGAGAUAAUUAAUGAAUAAUUGUAGACAUAAAUAAAAUGUAUAUAAUUUGUCGAUUAAUGUUAUUAAUUCGAAUUAUGGUAAUACCACUGAGUAUUUCCAUACUCAGCGUACGGUUGUUUCCGUGCGCAGGUUAGGUCAAAGUCGGAUUGUUGAAUCAGCAUCCAAAGCCGAUUCUGAGCUAAUUGUGGUGGUGAACAUUUCUUUUAGUUAUGGCAUGUAUAGGAAUUUAGUAAUUUUGUAUAUUUGUAAAUAUGAUUUUACUAUAGAAUGAUGUGUAAGUAUUUGAUGAUGAAUGGUUGUUUAAAUGGUCAAGGAUGAAGUUAAUUAUUGUUAUAAAAGUCUAAGUGAUAAAUUAGGUAUGAAAAUCAUAAAAUGGUAAAAUUUUGCAAAGAAAUAGAAUUCAGGCAGCAAUAGUGACGUAACUUUGAAAAAUCACCUAGGAUAGUAUAAAAUGAAUUAGAGGGUGAAUGAUAUAUGAAAUGAAAUAUUAUUGAGUCUAUUUUUAUAUAAAAAUAACGGUUUAGCAAAAAGAAAUUUAUAUUUUAAGAUAUGUGAAUUUUAGUGAGAAAUGGUCAGAUCUAUUUCUGGAGUCCCCUGUUCCGAGUUUAGAAAAUCACUAAAAAUGGUAUAAAAAUAUUUAUGAGUUGUAGUUUAUAUGUGUAGAAUCCUUAUUGAGUCUAUUUUCUGUAGAAAUAAGUGGUAAUAUCAUAUGAAAAUCCUAUAAUGAGAAAAUUUAUUUUUAGUACCAAGGGGUCAGGACAGUCGAGUGAAGAAAUAGGGGAGAAUUUAACUAAUAAACUGUACUAAUUGGUCAAACCAAGAAUUCUGAAAAUUUUAUGGUAGAAAGAUAUAUGAGUCUAGUUUCAGGAAAAAUUUACGAAAUUAAAUUUGGAGUUCUGUAGCUCGAGUUAUAAUCAAUUUAGUAACUGCUGCGCGAUUGGACAGAUUACUGUAAACAGUGAAAUUAAUUUUUAAAACGAAUUUUUAUGCCCCGAAUUAGUAAGAUAAGCUAAGUAAUGCCUCGUACUCGAUUCCGGCAACGGUCUCGGGUAAGGGGUGUUACACAACUUUUCAAAUCUUUUCUCGUGUCUUGUUUCUACAUUGCCCUUCUUGAUCGUCAAGUCCUCCACUUUCUAAGUUUUUGUUUGAUUUGUGCGCUAUUUUCUUAUCUUAAAGAUCUUUGCUUGAGUUUCUGCUGUAGCAUCACCGUUUUCGCCUUUGUUGCCAGUAUUUUUAGUCGAUUUCUAUAACAAAAUGCCAGAUCGAGUGCCAAAUCUACUACUGCUUCAUCAAAAGGGCAAAUAUGUAAAAUAUCAAAACUCAAAACCAUUAGAAGCCAAAAAAAAGUUCUCAAAGUAACUAGAAAGGAUUAAACACGUCCCCUUUUCGUCAUUGUAUGGUUAUUUAUGACUCUCUACUUAUUUACGUUUCGAUGCUUGAGUAUGAAAAUAUUUAGAAUUUACUUCCCCAUAAUACAUCCAAAAGAUUUUGGUGUGUUGUCUUCAAUACAUAGAUUCUUGAGCUAGUUGAUUGUUGAGUUCAAAUUUCAACCCAAACAAAGAUGUGCCAUUACCCCUUAAGCCCAUGUCAUCGCAAUCUUCUUUUUCACAUCAUUUAUCCUAGCAACAAAAUUACUACCCAUUGAUUUGUACCAAGCUGUUAAUUUAAAGCCAUAAAAUUUAACUUUUGAAUAACACUAGGUAAAAAAAUUACCUAAACUUUUAGAAAUUACCUCAAGAAAACCAUCUUUUGGAAGCCAUUUAUUUUCGACGUUAAAUCAACUAACCUUCUAAGCGAGAAACAAAGUUUUGGCCACCAGUUUAAUUGUAUUGUGAUCAAAUGUAACACUCAUCAAAUUGUAUAACUUAUGAAAAGAAAAAAGUACACAUUCUAGGUUGAUAAAAGCUCUUUUUGGUCUAUCUAAGACAAACAAGUCUGACUUCUUCCCUCUACCAAAUGUAACCAUAGCUACUCAAGGGAAGUUUAGUAAAAUUGUAAUAUGAAAUACAUUUACGAAAGCCAUCAAACUAGCUAGAAGGGUAAGUUGGUCCACCCCACUUAUCAUUGACUAAAAGAAUAUUAUUGAAGUCUCUAAUACAAACCUAAGGAAAAUUAUGAAGUGUCAAAAGAGAUAUCAAAAGCUCCUAGUUAGCUCGCUUUUUAGUAGUCUUAGAAUAGCCAUUGAGACCUAUUAAGCGCCAUUUAAACAGUAAGCAACCUUAAUUAUUAAAUCAAUGUGAUUAUUAGAAUACCCUGUAAUAGCUAGCAAGUCCUUUACCACGACCAAGUCUAUCAACAUAGAAACAAUAGUUAAAAUUGAGAGCAAUAUGUAUUUCCUUCUUAGACUACGUUGUUAUUAGUCGAAGGAACUUUUUUCGUUUGUUUUGGAGAGGCCAAACACAGCUUUUAUCAACCUAGAAUGAGCACUUAUUUUUCCUUUUAAUAGGUUAUACAACCUAAUGAGUGCUACAUCUGAUCACAUUCUAAUUAAACUAGUAGCCAAAACUUUGUUUCAUGCGUACAAGGUUAAUUGAUUCAAGUUUGAAAGUAAAUGGCUUCUAAAAGAUUCUUGAGAUAAGUUCUAAAAGUUGGGUUGAUUGUUAUUGAAAAGCUAAAAUUCUAUGGGUUGAGGUUAAAAAAAAAAGCCUCAAGAUGACAAUUUCAAGGACAAUACUACUAUCGAUAGGAUGUGCUCUAGUGGACACACAUAUGUCUGUACUAAAGUCCCUAACUCAACUCUUUUAUUGUUGGUUAACCUUCCAUUAGAGACUCAUCAAGAGCCAUGAAUUAUCUAACGUGGAACUGGCGAGGCUUGGGCAAUCCACAAACACACGAGUUAAAAUCGCGAGCAAAAUGUAAUUCCUCCGCCAUGAAUUGUCUAGUGUGGAACUAACGGGGCUAGGG